AUACGGAGGGGGGUAGCGUUGUUCGGAAUUACUGGGCGUCAAGCGCACGUAGGCGGACUGGAAAGUUGGGGUUGAAAUCCCGGGGCUCAACCCCGGAACUGCCUCCAAAACUUCCAAUCUAGAGAUCGAGAGAGGUAAGUGGAAUUCCUAGUGUAGAGGUGAAAUUCGUAGAUAUUAGGAGGAACACCAGUGGCGAAGGCGGCUUACUGGCUCGAUACUGACGCUGAGGUGCGAAAGCGUGGGGAGCAAACAGGAUUAGAUACCCUAGUAGUCC
rnacentral:rRNA from 1 species